rnacentral:rRNA from 1 species
AACGUAGGACGCAAGCGUUAUCCGGAGUACUGGGCGUAAAGCGCGGGCAGGCGGCUCUGUAAGUCUGAUGUGAAAGCCCCGGGCUCAACCUGGGAAUGGCCGGAUGGAUACUGGCUCGCUAGAGUGCGGUAGAGGAGAGUGGAAUUCCUGGUGGUAGCGGUGAAAUGCGCAGGAUAAUCAGGAGGAACACCAAUUGCGAAGGCAGCUCGCUGGGACGUAACUGACGCUGAGACGCGAAAGCGUGGGGAGCAAACAGGAU